rnacentral:lncRNA from 10 species
GGCAGGUAUAUCGUCACCCCUGUCCAGCCUGAAGAAGUCACAGAAGUUGUAUCUUCCUCCCUCUACAACCCUUAGGAUUAAAGGUUCUCUUAUAAAAGGGAGCGGGGAAAUGUCAGAGGCAUGUGAACCAGAGUGACUCCAUCUUGAACAGGAGCUGGGUGAAAUAAGGCUGAGACCUAUGGGCUGCAUUCCCAGGAGGUUAGGUAUUCUAAGUCAAGGAUAAGGCCGGGAACGGUGGCUCAUGCCUGUAUUCCCAGCACUUUGGGAGGCCAAGGUGGGUGGAUCACCUGAGGUCAGGAGUUCGAGACCAGCCUGGCCAACAUGGUGAAACCCUGUCUCUACUAAAAAUACAAAAAUUAGCCAAGUGUGGUGGCAGCGCCUGUAAUCCCAGCUACUCGGGAGGCUGAGGCAUAAGAAUCGCUUGAACCCGGGAGGUGGAGGUUGCGGUCAGCCGAGAUCGUGCCACUACAAUCCAGCCUGGGUGACAGAGCAAGACUUCAUCUCAAAAAAAUAAAAUUAAAUUAAAUUAAAAAAAAUUAGUCCAGUUGUUACCCUUGGGGAAUUUACAGUUUAGCUGGGACCUUGUGUUCCAGAGACUCAGAGAAAGGAAGAGCCCAUUCUUUCUGGAAGGAGCAUAAAUCAGGGAGGGCUUCCUGGAGGAAGUGACAUUUGAGGGACGCCUUGAAGGAAAUUAUUGAUGAUGAAGAGCAAGAGCAUUGGAGUCAAAACUGGGAUCAAAUUCCAGCUGUCUGGUGUUCUUGCUGUGUGAUCUUGGGUAAAUGACCUCCCCUCCCAGGACCUCAGCUUAUAAAAUGAAGCAUGCCACCCUAUCUCCCUGGGCUGUUGUGAGAAUGACCUUAAAGGAGAAACUAUAUGUGAAGUGCUGUUCUGGAGUAAUGACCGCAGACACAGGUAUCACUACUAUGUUAUUUAUUUAUUUAUUUAUUUAGCGGCAGGGUCCCGCUCCGUCACCUAGGCUAGAGUGCAGUGAUGAGAUCACGGCUCACUGCAGCCUCAACCUCCCAGGCUGAAGCAAUCCUCCCACUUCAGUCUCCCUAGUAGCUGGCACUACAGGCAUGUGCCACCAAACCAGGCUAAUUUUCUUUUUUUUAUUUUUGUAGAGAUGGGGUCUUGCUCUGUUGCCCAGGCAGGUCUCCAGCUUCUGGGCUCAAGGGAUCCUCCCGACUGGGCCUCCGAAAGUGCUGGGAUCACAGGCGUGAGCCACCAUGCCUGGCCUACCAUGUAAUUUAAAAGAUCUGAGCAGGUAGAGUUCAAAAGUAAAUUCUAGAACAGCAUUUUGUAACAGAAAUCUCUGUUAUGAUGGCAAUGUUCUAUAGCUGUGCUGUCGAAUAUGGCAGUCACCAGCCAUAUGUGGCUACUGAGCACUUGAACUAUGGCCAGUGUGCCCGAGGAACUAAAUUUGAAAUGAAAAUUUAUUCUUUCUUUCUUUUUUUUUUUGAGAUGGAGUCUCAUUCUGACAUCCAGGCUGGAGUGCAGCGGUGUGAUCUAAGCUCACUGCAAACUCCACUUCCCGGGCUCAAGCAAUCUACCUGCUUUAAGGAGGAUUGAAGCAGAAGGAUUCAAGCAACUCCCUCCUCAGUAGCUGGAACUACAGGCACGCCCCACCACGUCUGGCUAAUUUUUGUAUUUUUUUGACUUAAAACAAUACAAAUGUAUUUUCUUAAAGGUCUGCGGAUCAGAGGUCUAAAAGUGUCAGGAGGUCUGUGUUCCUUCUGGGAGCUUCAGAGAGAAUCUGUUUCCUUGUCUGUUUCAGCUUCUGGAAGCUGCCUGCAUUUCUUGGCACCUCCUCACGUCACUAUGACAUCUGCUUCCGUUGUCACCUCCUGUGACUGACCCUGACCCUCCUGCCUCCCUCUUAAAAGGACCCUCGUGACUCCAUUGAGCCCACCCAGACAAUCCAGGAUAACCACCCCUUCUCAAGAUCCUUUACUUAAUCUCACCUGCAAAGUCCCUUUUGCCAUGGAAGGUCACCUCUUCACAGGUUCAGGGGAUUAAGAUGUGGACAUCACCGGGGGUCAUGAUUCUGAUUGCUACAGGGUCUGAGAAGCUAGAGAGUAAGUGUGUCCAGUGGUGGAGAGAAGCCUUGAAUGCCGAGCUAAGGAGCCUGGACUUGGCCUUUCCUUCAAAAUAGAUGCAUGACCUGUCAGCCUCUCACCACCUCAGCUCUGUUACCCUGAUCCAAAUCGCUAUCACCUCCUGCUUGGACCAUUACAGUAGCCUCCUCUCUGGGAUCUUCACUGCCCCUACACCAUACUCUCACCUCCACCAGCAACCAGAGGGAUCCUAUUAAAAUCUUUUGGCCGGGUGCGGUGGCUCACGCCUGUAAUCCCAGCACUUUGGGAGGCUGAGGCGGGUGGAUCACCAGGUCAGGAGAUCAAGA